GGGCCCGUCGCCUAGCCGGGAAAGGGCACCGGCCUUCGGAGCCGGAGGUCCCGGGUUCAAAUCCCGGCGGGCCCGCCA
rnacentral:tRNA from 1 species